rnacentral:rRNA from 1 species
UACGUAGGGUGCAAGCGUUGUCCGGAAUUAUUGGGCGUAAAGAGCUUGUAGGCGGUUUGUCGCGUCUGCUGUGAAAACUCGGGGCUUAACCCCGGGCCUGCAGUGGGUACGGGCAGACUAGAGUGCGGUAGGGGAGACUGGAAUUCCUGGUGUAGCGGUGAAAUGCGCAGAUAUCAGGAGGAACACCGGUGGCGAAGGCGGGUCUCUGGGCCGUAACUGACGCUGAGGAGCGAAAGCGUGGGGAGCGAACAGG